rnacentral:rRNA from 1 species
GAUGAACGCUGGCGGCGUGCCUAAUACAUGCAAGUCGAACGCAUUGUGGUUGAAAUGAUAUGAAGAACUUGUUCAGAUUUGAUUUUCAACAUUGCAAUGAGUGGCGAACGGGUGAGUAACACGUGGGAAACCUACCUCUUAGCAGGGGAUAACAUUUGGAAACAAAUGCUAAUACCGUAUAAUAAUUAAAACCGCAUGGUUUUAGUUUAAAAGAUGGUCUUGCUAUCACUAAGAGAUGGUCCCGCGGUGUAUUAGUUAGUUGGUGAGGUAAUGGCUCACCAAGACAAUGAUACAUAGCCGAGUUGAGAGACUGACCGGCCACAAUGGGACUGAGACACGGCCCAUACUCCUACGGGAGGCAGCAGUAGGGAAUCUUCCACAAUGGACGAAAGUCUGAUGGAGCAACGCCGCGUGUGUGAUGAAGGGUUUCGGCUCGUAAAACACUGUUGUAAGAGAAGAAUGACAUUGAGAGUAACUGUUCAAUGU